rnacentral:lncRNA from 10 species
CCGGCCUGUGCGCAGUUCCCGUGCCCUAGGAGUUGGCGGCGGGGCCCAGCCGAGAAUCUUCUUCCCUUCUGGUCUGACUAGGAAAGCCAGAGGGAGAUGGUGAAGGAGACACAGAGAGAGUAAAAGAACAGACCAUGCCCAGCCUCUCCACUGCAGGAGCUUGGAAUCAGUUCCUUUCUCAGGAACCUGACCAUCAGGCCUCCCAGAAAGUAUCGAGAAACUGAAACAUCUCAGAUCAUGGCAUCUGGACAAUGAGACACACCUGCUGCCUGUUGACCAACUCCCCUUGCUUACCCCUUCGUAACUCCCCACUAUGUAAACCCUUUAUUUUAGUUAGCUUAGACUUGUCUCCCAUCUCUCAGCUGACAUCAUCUGUAAUAAAGCCUUUGAUCCCUGGCAA